rnacentral:rRNA from 1 species
AUCGAACGCUGGCGGCAGGCCUAAUACAUGCAAGUCGAACGAGUGGCGGAUGGGAGAGUAUUGGUAGGGAAUCUGCCUGAUGGAGGGGGAUAACUACUGGAAACGGUAGCUAAUACCGCAUACUACCAGAUCUGCCCAGAUGGGAUUAGCUUGUUGGUGGGGUAACGGCUCACCAGGGCGACGCUCCCUAGGUGGUCUAAAGGGUGGACCGGCAAAAGUGGAAUUGGGACACGGUCCGAACUCCUACGGGGGGCAGCAGUGGGGAACAUUGGCAAAUGGGCGCAAGCCUGAUGCAGCAAUGCCGCGUAUAUGAAGAGGGCCUUCGGGUUGUAAAGUACGUUGUGCAGGAAGACGUUACCCACAGAGGAAGCACCGGCUAACUCCGUGCCAGCAGCCGCGGUAAUAC